AGCUCCAAUAGCGUAUAUUAAAGUUGUUGCAGUUAAAAAGCUCGUAGUUGGAUUUCGGACUGGGCCAGUGGGUCGGCCGCAAGGUCUGUUACUGACUGGUCCGGUCUUCUUCGCAAAGACUGCGCGUGCUCUUCGCUGAGUGCGCGUAGGAUUUACGACGUUUACUUUGAAAAAAUUAGAGUGUUCAAAGCAGGCCGUCGCUUGAAUACAUGAGCAUGGAAUAAUGGAAUAGGACUCUGGUUCUAUUUUGUUGGUUUCUGGAACCGGAGUAAUGAUUAAGAGGGACAAUUGGGGGCAUCCGUAUUUCGUUGUCAGAGGUGAAAUUCUUGGAUUUACGAAAGACGAACAACUGCGAAAGCACUUGCCAAGAGUGUUUUCAUUAAUCAAGAACGAAAGUACG
rnacentral:rRNA from 1 species